rnacentral:rRNA from 1 species
UAGGGAAUAUUGGACAAUGGGGGCAACCCUGAUCCAGCCAUGCCGCGUGAGUGAAGAAGGCCCUCGGGUUGUAAAGCUCUUUUGUCCGGAAAGAAAAGCAUUCGGUGAAUACCCGGAUGUUCUGACGGUACCGGAAGAAUAAGCACCGGCUAACUUCGUGCCAGCAGCCGCGGUAAUACGAAGGGUGCAAGCGUUACUCGGAAUUACUGGGCGUAAAGCGUGCGUAGGUGGUUGUUUAAGUCUGAUGUGAAAGCCCUGGGCUCAACCUGGGAAUGGCAUUGGAAACUGGGCCGCGAGAGUGCGGUUGAGGGUAGUGGAAUUCCCGGUGUAGCAGGGAAAUGCGUAGAGAUCGGGAGGAACAUCUGUGGCGAAGGCGACUGCCUGGACCAGCACUGACACUGAGGCACGAAAGCGUGGGGAGCAAACA